GUGGGGAAUAUUGGACAAUGGGCGCAAGCCUGAUCCAGCCAUGCCGCGUGAGUGAUGAAGGCCUUAGGGUUGUAAAGCUCUUUCAGUGGGGACGAUAAUGACGGUACCCACAGAAGAAGCCCCGGCUAACUUCGUGCCAGCAGCCGCGGUAAUACGAAGGGGGCUAGCGUUGUUCGGAUUUACUGGGCGUAAAGCGCACGUAGGCGGAUCGUUAAGUCGGGGGUGAAAUCCUGGAGCUCAACUCCAGAACUGCCUUCGAUACUGGCGAUCUUGAGUCCGGAAGAGGUGAGUGGAAAUCCUAGUGUAGAGGUGGAAUUCGUAGAUAUUAGGAAGAACACCAGUGGCGAAGGCGACUCACUGGCCCAAUACUGACGCUGAGGCGCGAAAGCGUGGGGAGCAAACAGGAUUAGAAACCCGGGUAGUCC
rnacentral:rRNA from 1 species